rnacentral:rRNA from 1 species
CUAAGGUAGCGAAAUUCCUUGUCGGGUAAGUUCCGACCUGCACGAAUGGCGUAACGACUUCCCCACUGUCUCCAGGAUAUGCUCAGCGAAAUUGAAUUCUCCGUGAAGAUGCGGAGUACCCGCGGUUAGACGGAAAGACCCCGUGCACCUUUACUGCAGCUUCAGAGUGGCAUUGGAAAAUUAUUGUGUAGCAUAGGUGGGAGGCUUUGAAGCGACGGCGCCAGCUGUCGUGGAGCCAUAGGUGAAAUACCACCCUGUGAUUUUUUAAUGUCUAACCUAGUACCGUUAGCCGGUACAGGGACCCUCUGUGGCGGGUAGUUUGACUGGGGCGG